rnacentral:rRNA from 1 species
AUUGAACGAUGGCGGCAGGUUUAACACAUGCACGUCGAGCGAGCGGCGGACGGGUGAGUAAUGUCUGGGAAACUGCCUGAUGGAGGGGGAUAACUACUGGAAACGGUAGCUAAUACCGCAUACCAUCAGAUGUGCCCAGAUGGGAUUAGCUAGUAGGUGGGGUAAAGGCUCACCUAGGCGACGAUCCCUCGCUGGUCUGAGAGGAUGCCCGGCCACACUGUAACUGAUACACAGUCCAGAUUCCUACGGGAGGCAGCAGUGGGUAAUAUAGCACAAUGGGCGCAAGCCUGAUACAGCCAUGCCGCGUGUUUGAAGAAGGCCUUCGGGUUGUAAAGCACUUUCAGCGAGGAGGCGUUACUCGCAGAAGAAGCACCGGCUAACUCCGUGCCAGCAGCCGCGGUAAUUC